rnacentral:rRNA from 1 species
UACGAAGGGGGCUAGCGUUGCUCGGAAUCACUGGGCGUAAAGCGCACGUAGGCGGAUUGUUAAGUCAGGGGUGAAAUCCUGGAGCUCAACUCCAGAACUGCCUUUGAUACUGGCGAUCUUGAGUCCGGGAGAGGUGAGUGGAACUGCGAGUGUAGAGGUGAAAUUCGUAGAUAUUCGGAAGAACACCAGUGGCGAAGGCGGCUCACUGGCCCGGUUCUGACGCUGAGGUGCGAAAGCGUGGGGAGCAAACAGG